UGGGGAAUAUUUGACACUUGGGGGAACCCUGAUCCAGCCAUGCCGCGUGUGUGAAGAAGGCCUUAUGGUUGUAAAGCACUUUAAGCGAGGAGGAGGGUACUGGUAUUAAUACUACCAGCUACUGGACGUUACUCGCAGAAUAAGCACCGGCUAACUCUGUGCCAGCAGCCGCUGUAAUACAGAGGGUGCGACCGUUAAUCGGAUUUACUGGGCGUAAAGCUUGCGUAGGCGGCUAAUUGAGUCGGAUGUGAAAUCCCCGAGCUUAACUUGGGAAGUGCAUUCGAUACUGGUUAGCUAGAGUGUGGGAGAGGAUGGUAGAAUUCCAGGUGUAGCGGUGAAAUGCGUAGAGAUAUGGAGGAAUAACGAUGGAGAAGGCAGCCAUCUGGCCUAACACUGACGCUGAGGUACGAAAGCAUGGGGAGCAAACAGG
rnacentral:rRNA from 1 species